rnacentral:rRNA from 1 species
AAUGCGCAGUUGUUAGCAAUCUAUACUGUGAAACUGCGAAUGGCUCAUUAAAUCAGUUAUCGUUUAUUUGAUAGUACCUUACUACUUGGAUAACCGUGGUAAUUCUAGAGCUAAUACAUGCUAAAAACCCCGACUUCGGAAGGGGUGUAUUUAUUAGAUAAAAAACCAAUGCCCUUCGGGGCUCCUUGGUGAUUCAUGAUAACUUAACGAAUCGCAUGGCCUUGCGCCGGCGAUGGUUCAUUCAAAUUUCUGCCCUAUCAACUUUCGAUGGUAGGAUAGUGGCCUACCAUGGUAUCAACGGGUAACGGGGAAUUAGGGUUCUAUUCCGGAGAGGGAGCCUGAGAAACGGCUACCACAUCCAAGGAAGGCAGCAGGCGCGCAAAUUACCCAAUCCCGACACGGGGAGGUAGUGACAAUAAAUACUGAUACAGGGCUCUUUUGGGUCUUGUAAUUGGAAUGAGUACAAUUUAAAUACCUUAACGAGGAACAAUUGGAGGGCAAGUCUGGUGCCAGCAGCCGCGGUAAUUCCAGCUCCAAUAGCGUAUAUUAAAGUUGUUGCAGUUAAAAAGCUCGUAGUUGAACCUUGGGCCUGGCUGGCCGGUCCGCCUCACCGCGUGUACUGGUCCGGCCGGGCCUUUCCUUCUGGGGAUCCUCAUGCCCUUCACUGGGUGUGCUGGGGAACCAGGACUUUUACUUUGAAAAAAUUAGAGUGUUCAAAGCAGGCCUUUGCUCGAAUACAUUAGCAUGGAAUAAUAGAAUAGGACGUGCGGUCCUAUUUUGUUGGUUUCUAGGACCGCCGUAAUGAUUAAUAGGGGAUAGUCGGGGGCAUCAGUAUUCAAUUGUCAGAGGUGAAAUUCUUGGAUUUAUUGAAGACUAACUACUGCGAAAGCUUUUGCCAAGGAUGUUUUCUUAAUCAGUGAACGAAAGUUAAGGGGAUCGAAAAGAUCAAAAUACCGUCGUAGUCUUAACCGUAACUAUGCCGACAAGGGGAUCGGGC